UAGGGAAUCUUCCACAAUGGGCGAAAGCCUGAUGGAGCAACGCCGCGUGUGUGAUGAAGGGUUUCGGCUCGUAAAACACUGUUGUAAGAGAAGAAUGACAUUGAGAGUAACUGUUCAAUGUGUGACGGUAUCUUACCAGAAAGGAACGGCUAAAUGCGUGCCGG
rnacentral:rRNA from 1 species